AGUGAACGCUGGCGGUAGGCCUAACACAUGCAAGUCGAACGGCAGCACAGUAAGAGCUUGCUCUUACGGGUGGCGAGUGGCGGACGGGUGAGGAAUACAUCGGAAUCUACUUUUUCGUGGGGGUUAACGUAGGGAAACUUACGCUAAUACCGCAUACGCCCUACGGGUGAAAGCAGGGGAUCUUCGGACCUUGCGCGAUUGAAUGAGCCGAUGUCGGAUUAGCUAGUUGGCGGGGUAAAGGCCCACCAAGGCGACGAUCCGUAGCUGGUCUGAGAGGAUGAUCAGCCACACUGGAACUGAGACACGGUCCAGACUCCUACGGGAGGCAGCAGUGGGGAAUAUGGGACAAUGGGCGCAAGCCUGAUCCAGCCAUACCGCGGGGGUGAAGAAGGCCUUCGGGUUGUAAAGCCCUUUUGUUGGGAAAGAAAAGCAGCAGGUUAAUACCCCGCUGUUCUGACGGGACCCAAAGAAUAAGCACCGGCGAACUGCGU
rnacentral:rRNA from 1 species